rnacentral:rRNA from 1 species
GCUUGUCUCAAAGAUUAAGCCAUGCAUGUUCAAGUAUAGCAAGUGUACAGUGAAACUGCGAAUGGCUCAUUAAAUCAGUUAUAAUUUAUUUGAUAGUGAAAUUGUACAUGGAUAACCGUGGCAAUUCUAGAGCUAAUACAUGCGUACAGUCCCAACCUCACGGAAGGGAUGUAUUUAUUAGAUAAAAAAUCAAUGCGGUUUCGGCCGGUUUGUUGGUGAUUCAUAAUAACUACUCGAAUCGCAUGGCUUUAUGCUGGCGAUAGUUCAUUCAAAUUUCUGCCCUAUCAGCUUUCGACGGUAGUGUAGUGGACUACCGUGGCAUUAACGGGUGACGGAGAAUUAGGGUUCGAUUCCGGAGAGGGAGCCUGAGAAAUGGCUACCACAUCCAAGGAAGGCAGCAGG